UCGAUUGUCGAGUGAUGAUGGGAAUCGCCGAGUCGCAGAUUGAAAAACACGUCUUGCUGUCGAAUGCUUUCCACCCGGCGAGCCGGCGGGCCCCGUUUUCUAUUGACCUCCUCUUUCUCACAA
ensembl:ncRNA C04F6.8 ncRNA